AUUGAACGCUGGCGGCAGGCCUAACACAUGCAAGUCGAACGAGUGGCGGACGGGUGAGUAAUGUCUGGGAAACUGCCUGAUGGAGGGGGCUAACUACUGGAAAAGGUAGCUAAUACCGCAUACCAUCAGAUGUGCCCAGAUGGGCUUAGCUGGUUGGUGGGGUAACGGCUCACCAAGGCGACGAUCCCUAGCGGGUCUGAGAGGAUGACCAGCAACACUGGAACGUAGACACGGUCAAGAAUCCAACGGGAGGCAGAAGUGGGGAAUAUUGCACAAUGGGCGCAAGCCUGAUGCAGCCAUGCCGCGUGUAUGAAGAAGGCCUGCGGGUUGUAAAGUACUUUCAGCGGGGAGGCGUUACCCGCAGAAGAAGCACCGGCUAACUCCGUGCCAGCAGCCGCGGUAAUAC
rnacentral:rRNA from 1 species